GGCGCAAGCGUUGUCCGGAAUUAUUGGGCGUAAAGAGCUCGUAGGCGGUUUGUCGCGUCUGCUGUGAAAACGCAAGGCUUAACCUUGCGCCUGCAGUGGGUACGGGCAGACUAGAGUGCGGUAGGGGAGACUGGAAUUCCUGGUGUAGCGGUGGAAUGCGCAGAUAUCAGGAGGAACACCGAUGGCGAAGGCAGGUCUCUGGGCCGUUACUGACGCUGAGGAGCGAAAGCAUGGGGAGCGAACAGGAUUAGAUACCCUGGUAGUCAAGGGCG
rnacentral:rRNA from 1 species